rnacentral:rRNA from 1 species
CAAUAGCGUAUAUUAAAUUGUUGCGGUUAAACGCUCGUAAGUUGGAUAUCUGUGAGCGGGUUCCGGUCCUUCCCAGUGAAGAUUACACGGAACUCUGCUCGCAUUUGUUCAGGGAGGGUGGAUGCACUUCACUGUGUGACCACAUGAUCUGAAUUUUUACUUUGAGGAAAUGAGAGUGUUCCAAGCAGGCAAUCGCCGUGAAUAUGAUAGCAUGGAAUAAUAGCACAGGACUCUUGGUUCAAUGCUGUUGGUUAAUUGAACUAGAGUAAUCACAAUAAGGAUAGUUGGGGGGUAUUCGUAUUUAACUGUCAGAGGUGAAAUUCUUGGAUUUUUAAAGACGAACAAUUGCGAAGGCAUCUACCCAGGAU